GCAUGCACGAUAGUUUCGGCUAGGUGCGCGCGUGGUUUGAAUUCGCCUCAACGUCUUGUUGAAUUAGUUCGACAAAGGAUCAGAUUGGUGAGAGGGUUGGCUGCGCGCGCUGCAUGUUUCAGUUGUAAAUGUUUGAAAUUUUAAUACAGUAUAGCAUGCACGAUAGUUUCGGCUAGGUGCGCGCGUGGUUUGAAUUCGCCUCAACGUCUUGUUGAAUUAGUUCGACAAAGGAUCAGAUUGGUGAGAGGGUUGGCCGCGCGCGUUGCAUGUUUCAGUUGUAAAUGGUUGAAAUUUUAGUACAGUAGCAGGCAUGCGAAUUUUAUGUGCAAAAGUUUUACAAAACUGUAUACAGUGUUACUAAGCUGCAUGGAUGCUAAAAGUUUGUGUUGACUGUUAGAAUGGUGGCUUGUAUGGGGGUAUACUUGCUAGGAUUUGCACAUUUAUAUAUUUACAAGUGCAUUAGGUCUCAGGUUUUAGUUUAAGACCAACAUGAGCGAGUGAGAUAAACUCGACUAGCUAAGGUAAGGCAUCAAGCGUGAAAUCCACGCAUUAGACCCCUCAGGAUCGGACCCCAAACCUUUUUUCAACAGCAAAUAUGAAAUUACCCCUCCUUAAUUACCACACCAUUGGAGAAUGAUGUUGGAUAUCCUUGGCUAUAAUGUGUAAUACCAUGAGGGAUGUUGUGGGCAAAUGUGCGAUGUCAGAAGUUAAUGUGGAAUAUAGGAAGC